GAACGAACGUUGGCGGCGUGGAUUAUGCAUGCAAGUCGAGCGAGGACAGUUCGUGUAGCAAUACAGGAGCUGAGCCGAGCGGCGCAAGGGGCAGUAAUGCGUGGGUAACGUACCCCCCGGACUGGGAUAGUCCGCCGAAAGGCGGAGUAAUACCGGGCGAUGUAGCGAGUUCGCAUGAAUUUGCUAUCAAAGGUGUGAUUCCGUCGGGGGAGCGGCUCACGUGGUAUUAGCUAGUUGGUAGGGUGAUGGCCUACCAAGGCAAAGAUGCCUAGCGGGUGUGAGAGCACGACCCGCGCCACUGGCACUGAGACACUGGCCAGACACCUACGGGUGGCUGCAGUCGAGGAUCUUCGGCAAUGGGCGCAAGCCUGACCGAGCGACGCCGCGUGUGGGAUGAAGGCCUUCGGGUUGUAAACCACUGUCAGGGGGGAUGAAGUCCCGCUGGGUACUCCCAGCGGGAACGCUUGACACAUCCCCAGAGGAAGCACGGGCUAAGUUCGUGCCAGCAGCCGCGGUAAGACGAACCGUGCGAACGUUGUUCGGAUUCACUGGGCUUAAAGGGCGCGUAGGCGGUUCGCCAAGUCCGGGGUGAAAUCUUUCGGCUCAACCGGAAAAUUGCCUUGGAUACUGGCGGGCUAGAAGAGGGUAGGGGCUGCGGGAACUUCCAGUGGAGCGGUGAAAUGCGUUGAUAUUGGAAGGAACGCCGGUGGCGAAAGCGCGUGGCUGGACCCUCCUUGACGCUGAGGCGCGAAAGCUAGGGUAGCGAACGGGAUUAGAUACCCCGGUAGUCCUAGCCCUAAACGAUGGGUACUAGGCUGUGGAUGUGACAUGCGUUCACAGCCGAAGCAAAAGUGUUAAGUACCCCGCCUGGGGAGUAUGGUCGCAAGGCUGAAACUCAAAGGAAUUGACGGGGGCUCACACAAGCGGUGGAGCAUGUGGCUUAAUUCGAGGCUACGCGAAGAACCUUAUCCUGGGCUUGACAUGUGCGAAAGCGGUAGGAAGUAGCCAGCGGAAACGUUCGGCGAACGGUAUCCAAUCCGGAACCUACUACAGGUGCUGCAUGGCUGUCGUCAGCUCGUGUCGUGAGAUGUCGGGUUAAGUCCCAUAACGAGCGAAACCCUUGCUCCUAGUUGCCAGCGCGUCAUGGCGGGGACUCUAGGAGGACUGCCGGUGUUAAGCCGGAGGAAGGCGGGGAUGACGUCAAGUCCUCAUGGCCUUUAUGCCCAGGGCUGCACACGUGCUACAAUGCGGCGUACAAAGGGAUGCAAACUCGCGAGAGGGAGCCAAUCCCAAAAAACGCCGCCCAGUUCAGAUCGAAGGCUGCAACUCGCCUUCGUGAAGUUGGAAUCGCUAGUAAUCGCAGAUCAGCAAUGCUGCGGUGAAUGUGUUCC
rnacentral:rRNA from 1 species